rnacentral:lncRNA from 1 species
CAGGAACCUGGGAGUUUCUGUUUUUGCUCUACUGCCCUGUGAAGAAGGCCUCAGGGUUGAUUGGGGCUGGUUAGACAUUGGCCCCGGAGAGUGUCUCUUUGGAGCCUUCAGAGAGCUGCCUUGGAAGAAUGGCACGCAUGCCUAUUGAAUUUCUCUUUCAGGCUUUUGGGCUCAUUAUGAUUCUGAGGGCAUGUUUUCCUUUGAUUCAGAUCAUAAGUUCCUUGAGAACACUGACUACCUCCCCUGUGCCUCAAGAAGAACCUUGAGCAUGUCUUGCCACGCUCAAAGAAUUUAUCAGCUAUCUGCCAACCUAUUGGAGACGAGUCUCUCCAUAUUUGGUGAGACUGAUGUUCAGCCAUCUGCUGCUGGGACCAAGUCUUCCAGAAUGUGCUGGUCCAAUUCUGGUUACCUACUUUAGGAGGGACGUUAACACACUUUUCUGUCCAUGAGAAGAUCACACAAGAUGGUGAAGGAACUUCAAACCAUGUUACUGAAGAAGAAACUGGAGCUAUAAAGCCUGGAAAAGACAAAGUGUAAGGGAGGUGUGAUAACCUCUUCAGGCACUGAAAGGUUGCCCUUGGGUAUUGAGUAGCUCUAGAAGGCAGAAUUAGAACCAAUGGAUAAUAGUUAGAGACAGUUAGGACAAUUCUUGCUUUAGGUAAAUUUGCAUGAAAUAAAUCUGACUUUACAUAAGGAGUUCUGAGAGAA